rnacentral:rRNA from 1 species
GCUUUCACUGUUUACUGCUCUUCUUUUGCUAGAUAGCAAGAGAAUAAAGAGAAGUGAAGAGUGAAAGUGCUGACGAGUGGCGGACGGCUGAGUAACGCGUAGGAAUGUGCCCCAAAGUGAGGAAUAACUGCCCGAAAGGGUAGCUAAUGCCGCAUAUGAUCUUCGGAUUAAAGGAUUUAUCCGCUUUGGGAGCAGCCUGCGUCGGAUUAGAUAGUUGGUGAGGUAAUGGCUCACCAAGUCGACGAUCCGUAGCUGGUCUGAGAGGAUGACCAGCCAGACUGGAACUGAGACACGGUCCAGACUCCUACGGGAGGCAGCAGUGAGGAAUCUUCCACAAUGGGCGAAAGCCUGAUGGAGCAACGCCGCGUGCAGGAUGAAGGCCUUCGGGUCGUAAACUGCUUUUAUAAGUGAGGAAUAUGACGGUAACUUAUGAAUAAGGAUCGGCUAACUACGUGCCAGCAGCCGCGGUCAUACGUAGGAUCCGAGCGUUAUCCGGAGUGACUGGGCGUAAAGAGUUGCGUAGGUGGUUUGUAAAGCGAAUAGUGAAAUCUGGCGGCUCAACCGUACAGGCUAUUAUUCGAACUCACAAACUCGAGAAUGGUAGAGGUUACUGGAAUUUCUAGUGUAGGAGUGAAAUCCGUAGAUAUUAGAAGGAACACCAAUGGCGUAGGCAAGUAACUGGACCAUUUCUGACACUAAGGCACGAAAGCGUGGGGAGCGAACCGGAUUAGAUACCCGGGUAGUCCACGCCGUAAACGAUGGAUACUAGCUGUUGGAGGUAUCGACCCCUUCAGUAGCGAAGCUAACGCGUUAAGUAUCCCGCCUGUGGAGUACGGUCGCAAGACUAAAACAUAAGGGAAUUGACGGGG